rnacentral:rRNA from 1 species
AACGAACGCUGGCGGCAUGCCUAACACAUGCAAGUCGAACGAUGCCUCCGGGCAUAGUGGCGCACGGGUGCGUAACGCGUGGGAAUCUGCCCUUGGGUUCGGAAUAACUCGCCGACAGGCGAGCUAAUACCGGAUGAUGACGUAAGUCCAAAGAUUUAUCGCCCAAGGAUGAGCCCGCGUAGGAUUAGCUAGUUGGUGGGGUAAAGGCCCACCAAGGCGACGAUCCUUAGCUGGUCUGAGAGGAUGAUCAGCCACACUGGGACUGAGACACGGCCCAGACUCCUACGGGAGGCAGCAGUGGGGAAUAUUGGACAAUGGGCGAAAGCCUGAUCCAGCAAUGCCGCGUGAGUGAUGAAGGCCUUAGGGUUGUAAAGCUCUUUUACCCGGGAUGAUAAUGACAGUACCGGGAGAAUAAGCUCCGGCUAACUCCGUG